GGAGUUAUUUGGCUUCUACAAAUCGGUGAAGCUCCCGCCUAGGCCUCGCACCAAGCCUUUCACCAAGUUCAUCCCGAUUCAUUUGCCUCAGAAGCUGCUGCGGCUGGUGCAACCCGGAAACUGGAGCAAGCAGCGAGGCUUCCUCAUCAUUGCCAACCUCUUGGCGCAGUUCCUUUUUCGGGAAUGGAAGGACAGCAUCUUUUUGCGCAGGUUGCUUCUGAGUGCCAUAAGCAAGGGACUCCAGGACGCUCAGCGUGGUGCUGCCGGAAAGAUAUUCGAGUGAAUCCAA
rnacentral:lncRNA from 1 species